AUAUUCCUAAGGAAAAAUAGACAUGCAAGUCACACAUGGUCCAAAUAAUAAUCUGCCUUCAUUUAGGAGUUAAGUUUAACAUUUGUUAAAAAAAAUUAUUUUGUUCUUAAAAUAAAGUUGGAUCUUUAUAUUAGAGACCAGAAUAAAUUCCAACUACAUCAAAGAUCCAAAUGUGAAAGAUGAAGCCAUAGAAGCACUAGAAUGGACUGUGGUCACACCCUCUGACUCAGGAGAUUCUUCCUAUAUGUGAUUUGAAAACCAGAAACACUGAAAGGAAAGAUUUAAAAUUUACUGCAAGUUUUUAAAAGAAAGUGCAAAAUUAAACGACAUGAAAAAGAAGGAGAAAGUAACUUAUGCUACAGAUGAAAGGCAAAUAUACAAAGACUUCCUAAGAAUCUAGGAGCAAAAUGGAAAAUGCUGGAUUACAUUCAUAAGAAAAAUGCAAAUCGAAACCUUACUGGCAUACCACUUUUUACUUGUAAGAUUUGCAAAACAAAACAAAACAAAACAAAAAUCCAGAAGCUCAUUAACAUAUUCUAAUGGUGAGCCUGGACCAAUCAAAUAACACUGAAGGGAAUGCAAAAUGGUGCACCCCCUCUGGAGAGGAAUUUGGCUAUAUCCAGCAAAAUUACAUAUGCACUUUACUCUUUGCACUCACUCAGCAUUCCCACUCCUCUGAUUUUAUCCCAAAGUUAAACUGGAAAAAAACACAAAAUGACAUUUACACAAACUUAUCUUUUGUGGCAUUAUUUUUAGUAGUAAGAGUGGAAGCAAUCAAAUGUCAGUAAGGAACUGAUUCAAUAAAAUAUAGUAUAUCCACAUAAUAUUCAUUUAUAAAAAGGAAUGAAGAAAUUCUCUACAUACUGAUGUGGAGUGAUAUACUGAUACUUUUAUAAAGCAAAGAGUAGAAAAAAUAUACAUACCCCAUACAUGCAGUUUGGUUUGACCCCUCCAAAGCUCGUGUUGAAAUCUGAUCCCCAGUGUUGGAGGUCGUGCUUAAUGGGAGGUGUUUGGGUCAUGUCAUGGGGGCAGACCAUUCAUUAAUAUCCUCUUUAGGCUCUUUAGGAUCAGGGGACUGAGUGAGUUCUUGUUCUAUUCUUAGAAGAACUGGUUGUUUAAAAAAAAAAAAAAAAAAAAA